rnacentral:rRNA from 1 species
UACAGAGGGUGCGAGCGUUGUCCGGAUUUAUUGGGCGUAAAGAGCUCGUAGGCGGCCUGUUGCGUCCGCUGUGAAAUCCCGGGGCUCAACCCCGGGCCUGCAGUGGAUACGGGCUGGCUGGAGGCAGGCAGGGGAGAACGGAAUCCUGGUGUAGCGGUGAAAUGCGCAGAUAUCAGGAGGAACACCGGUGGCGAAGGCGGUUCUCUGGGCCUGUACUGACGCUGAGGAGCGAAAGCGUGGGGAGCGAACAGG